UACGAGGGGGGCAAGCGUUGUUCGGAAUUACUGGGCGUAAAGGGCUCGUAGGCGGCCAACUAAGUCAGACGUGAAAUCCCCAGGCUUAACCUGGGAACUGCGUCUGAUACUGGAUGGCUUGAAUCCGGGAGAGGGAUGCAGAAUUCCAGGUGUAGCGGUGAAAUGCGUAGAUAUCUGGAGGAAUACCGGUGGCGAAGGCGGCAUCCUGGACCGGCAUUGACGCUGAUGAGCGAAAGCCAGGGGAGCAAACGGG
rnacentral:rRNA from 1 species